rnacentral:rRNA from 1 species
GACGAACGCUGGCGGCGUGCUUAACACAUGCAAGUCGAACGGAAAGGCUCCAGCUUGCUGGAGUACUCGAGUGGCGAACGGGUGAGUAACACGUGGGUAAUCUGCCCUGCACUCUGGGAUAAGCCUGGGAAACUGGGUCUAAUACUGGAUAUGACCUUUCUCCUUAUGGGGUUUGGUGGAAAGUUUUUCGGUGUAGGAUGAGCCCGCGGCCUAUCAGCUUGUUGGUGGGGUGAUGGCCUACCAAGGCGACGACGGGUAGCCGGCCUGAGAGGGUGAUCGGCCACAUUGGGACUGAGAUACGGCCCAGACUCCUACGGGAGGCAGAAGUGGGGAAUAUUGCACAAUGGGCGGAAGCCUGAUGCAGCGACGCCGCGUGAGGGAUGACGGCCUUCGGGUUGUAAACCUCUUUCAGCAGGGACGAAGCGUAAGUGACGGUACCUGCAGAAGAAGCACCGGCUAACUAUGUG